CCUCAUAAGGAUCUCGACGAAGUGUUGGUGCUGAAGUACCUUCAAUUUUCGAACCCAUGUUAUUGUUUUCUCUCAUUCAAUUCUCUCCAUCACCUAAAACCCCAAUUCUUUCAAUAAUCACCAAAUCUCUCCAAUCUAACCAAAAAACAUUCAAUUAAAAAUCAAAAAAAUUGUUCAAAAAUUCAAAAAAUUCAAUCUUUUUAGAUCUCAAUUUGGGUACCUGAAGGAGAGAUUUGAUGUUGAAGGAGAGAUUUGAUGAAUUGAGACUGCUUUUCAGAGUUUUUUAGGUUUGAUUUUAGAAUUCAAAAAGAAAAGUUUCGAAUUGAAGAAAGAUUUAGUAUUUACGAUUACGAAGACUUUCGUCAGUUGUCUUAUAUGGACCGUUGAUUAUUAAUAAUUCCUCGAUAUACGAAUAAAGUAUUAUUUCGAGGUCGGUCUACGAUUUUGACGGUCAUGGAAGUUUAAUGGACUUGUUUGUUUUUUGUUCCGU
rnacentral:lncRNA from 1 species